rnacentral:rRNA from 1 species
AUUGAACGCUGGCGGCAUGCUUUACGCAUGCAAGUCGAACGGUAACAGGCCUUCGGGUGCUGACGAGUGGCGAACGGGUGAGUAAUGCAUCGGAACGUACCCAGAGGUGGGGGAUAACGCAGCGAAAGCUGUGCUAAUACCGCAUGUGAUCUGAGGAUGAAAGCGGGGGACCGAGCAGCAAUGUUUGGCCUCGCGCCUUUGGAGCGGCCGAUGUCGGAUUAGCUAGUUGGUGGGGUAAAGGCCUACCAAGGCGACGAUCCGUAGCUGGUCUGAGAGGACGACCAGCCACACUGGGACUGAGACACGGCCCAGACUCCUACGGGAGGCAGCAGUGGGGAAUUUUGGACAAUGGGCGCAAGCCUGAUCCAGCAAUGCCGCGUGCGGGAAGAAGGCCUUCGGGUUGUAAACCGCUUUUGGCAGGAACGAAACGGUGUCCGCUAAUACCGGGCGCUAAUGACGGUACCUGCAGAAUAAACACCGGCUAACUACGU